GUGCUUAUACUGUAUGUACCUACGUUGCCUUAUGUUGUAUGCACCUCUGUUGUGCCAAUUAUGAUCGGAGCUGCCUUGCCCGGGCACGUAGUCACGCUCAGGUAGAGCAGUUAUAAAGCUUUGCCAUUCAUCUGUUCUCUACGGGGUUUGGGGUACAACACUGAUGGGCCCAGAGCUGGUAUAGCUCCUAGCUCUCAGAUAGUCAGUCACUGACCGCCUCCCCUUGUCUCCUAGGUCCCCGGGUCCCUACAGAAUUUCCUGGAAUCUACCAUUUGACAUGGAGGUCCUGCGGUCAGAAGAAGCGUUUAAGCAUAUUCUUCAGUGCAGCGUUUCACGUUUUUCCACUAAUUUUUAAAUUUAGAAUAAAAAAUCCCCAGCCGGGGGUUUUGUUUUUUUGUUCCCCCUGAUGGGUUUUUGUUUCCUCGGUCCCGGCCGGUCAGCGAGGCGACAUUGAUGGCCUGAGUCAGGGCGCGGACUGUCCCAGGGACGGGGUUUUCGCCAGGCAGGAGGAUUUUUUGGGAGUCUCCCGGGAGCCACAUUCCCGAGGAGUGACGAUGACUCCGGCAUCAGAUCGCAUUGCCGUGAAUGUGAGUUUGUGCGGAACGCGAAGGGGGCGUGCACGUCAGCGGAGCGUUCUGCGCCAUUUUUGUUCCAAGUGCGUCAUAACAAUAAAAGCGUUGUGGACUUUUCUGAAAUG